GAGAAAUGAUGAGUAUUCUUUGGUCCGUGUUUCUGAUUAACCGUGACCGACAAUCUAAUAACCAUACUCUGAUCUC